rnacentral:misc_RNA from 1 species
CGACUACGACAAGAAGACGCACACACGCGCGCGCGCCCACGCAUUCGUCCUCGUUCUCCCACAACUGGUUCGCGCCAUCAUCAUUGCCCUGCACGCUCCUUCACACCACCUUGCAAAACAACCUCGUGGCAUCUGUGAGCUCUCUUUUCCGCGCACCGCACAUACACACCCACACGCCCACCGACGCCAGCAGGCCUGUAAGCAUGGAAAAGGCGAAGGAGAUCCAGUCAAAGCUGGAUAGCCUCCAGCAGGAGAUGCACGCCAAGGUGGAGGCGUGUGAUGUGAAGUACAGCAAGGAGAAGAACGCCAUCUUCGCGGCGCGCCGCGCAGCCGUUGCGGAGCUGAUAGCAAAGAAGGAGAUGCCGGCAAACUUUUGGGCGCUCGCCCUCAUCGCCCUGCUGCAGAUGAAGGACCGCGAGUCGACGACGACGCCCCACUUCCUCGGCCCGUACGAUGAGGAACUGCUCAAGACGUACCUGGAGGACAUUGAGGUGUUGUACACGGAUAAGGGCCACCGCAUUACACUGCGCUUCAAGCCGAAUCCGUUUUUCGAGGAGACGGAGCUCUGGGCCCAGGCGAGUGAGAUAAUGAAUUACGAGGCUGGCGAGGAGGACGAGAUGCCGCCGGCGGAGGAGAGUUGGGGCUUUUCGGGUGUGACGUGGAAGGACGGGCAUGGCCCGCAGCUGGACGAGGACGAGGACGAGGAGGAUGACGGUGCCCCAGGCAAAAAGCGCCCGCAUCCAAGCAGUGGCGGCUUGGCCGCCUCCGCAUCGUCCUCGACGCAGGGCCCCAGUGUGCUGGAGGUGUUCAGCGAGAUGCCACCCCACCCGGAGGAGGAUGAAGAGAUGGACGAGGAGGACGACGACGCUGUGGCGGAUGCCAUUGAGGAGUGGGAAGACGAGAUGGCCGACCGCAAGAUGCUGCUGCGGAUGGUGGAGCUGUUUGUUCACCAUAACCCUGUCUCCGCCCUGCGCGACGCUGGUGCUGCCACGGCUGGCGCGAGCAACGGUGAAGAGGCAGCAGCGAAGAAAGCGAAGGUGGAGUGAGGAGGGGAGGGGCAUGGCUUGCACCCCCCUCCUCUGUUCGUGUGUACACGCUGUGACGCGUGUCCCCCGCUCUCGCGUUCUCUUCCUCUUGUUGUAUAGCCUCCCCGUUUUCCUCGCUCUCGCUUCUUUUCUUGGUUUGUAAGUGGUGCUCGCACGGCCUGCGCGUGUGUGUGUGUACUUCCGUAGCGCCUGAGCUGCGCGUCAUGAGCGUCUGUGUGUGUGUGUGUGUGCACUUUCGUCUGCGUGUGCCUCCCCCUCGAAAACGACACACGCACACGCGCGCAGACCGUGUGAGCGCAUCUUUAACGGCUGUCGGUGUUUGGAGAGGCGUGUGCACUAAGCGCCUCCCGCCUUCCUCUCCCUCUCUCCUUCCACCCCCCACCCCCACUCCUCAUCCCAACACACCGGUGCACACACGGGCACAACACCCGUAAAGCCGCUUACCGCCCCACUGGCUAAGCAACGGUGGACAAGAGAAAUACCCGGCCCACACCAAAGC